UACAGAGGGGGCAAGCGUUGUUCGGAAUUACUGGGCGUAAAGGGCGCGUAGGCGGCCCGCUAAGUCGAACGUGAAAUCCCCGAGCUCAACUCGGGAACUGCGUCCGAUACUGGUGGGCUUGAAUCCGGGAGAGGGAUGCGGAAUUCCAGGUGUAGCGGUGAAAUGCGUAGAUAUCUGGAGGAAUACCGGUGGCGAAGGCGGCGUUCUGGACUGCAACUGACACUAAUGAACGAAAGCCAGGGGAGCAAACGGG
rnacentral:rRNA from 1 species